GUGUAAGAUAUAAAGCUCUUUCUGUCACCUGUUGUUAGCAGUGCAAGGUAAUUAAUGGCUUUGUGCUGCUCUCAGGUCUGCCGGUUGUACUGAGUGAAGGACUCCUCCCCUGCCUGCACUACAGAGAGGUCCAGUUCCUUGGGGAGAGACAAGCCAGAUACUCUGCUCCACCGUUAACCAGAAGCCAGAAGAGAAGGGAAGGCACAUACCAGUUUUACUGCAUAUACCUUCAUUGGCCAAACAAGGCAGGCAGCCAGCAGUCUAUUCCAUGCAGCAACCAUGGCUUCAUCCUGCUUUUGCAGCCAAAUGAGAAUGGCGAGGCACAUGGCAGGAGCCCACAACACAGGGAUUCAGAGCAAGGAGUGUGGGGAAUAUAGCUGGGGUAGAAAGGAGAUGUUUGGAGUCCAAUCUGGCAGCUCACUGCAACUGCUCGGAGCAGGGCGCUGGAUGAAGCUGUCCUCUGCAGAGCUGGGCAGGAGAAGCCAGGGCUUUUUGCCACCUUGAAGGACAAUGGGCAAACGUUUCAGGUGAAGUGCUUGAAAUGGAAAAGAUUUUGCUUGCUGAUAAUGUCUCUUGUUCAUUUCCAGCCUUCUAUGGUUUUGACAAUUUGUGGGUUUUCAGAGCAUUAGAAAUUAAUGAUUCCAGCUUUCUAGUCAGUCUCUAACUUCCCGUCAGCCACUCUUCUGUAAGCUGUCCAUCAGGGUACUUGUGCAGGGAGGUUAUAAGUGGAUAUAAGGUGUCCCCAUGCAGCCUAAGUAGCGCCGUACGGCUGCUUUACACAGGAGCAAGUGAGAGUCCCUGGGCAAGCAGGAGAGGAUGAGGUCCACACUAAUAGUUAGAAAGUCACACUCAAUGUUUGGAGAAACUAGGAAACAAACGGACCUGACCAUACAUCAUCCUUCGAUAUUAUCAGGAAAAGGGUAGCCAGUUCCCUCUGGUGUCUGGAGAAACAGUCAGAUCCUUUCUGUUUGCACAUUAUUAUGCUUUUAUCACACAUUGCUCAUUAGAAUUUCAUUUAGUUCUAGUUUAAACGGAUAGGCUGACAUUCCCUUUCCUGUCCUAGAUCCACAUUUAGACAGCAAUGCCCCACAGCACAGCCGUGUAACACACAAUCAUGGGGGGUGGCCAAGACAAAUGGACCAGACGACUUCCAGGUGAAGGAUGUGGUUGUAGAAAUCUUAAAUAUCCUCAUAAGGAGCAAAGGCUUUGAAACUACUUUUGCCACAGAAU